AUGAACGCUGGCGGCGUGCUUAACACAUGCAAGUCGAACGGAAAGGCUCCUGCUUGCAGGGGUACUCGAGUGGCGAACGGGUGAGUAACACGUGGGUGAUCUGCCCUUCACUUCGGGAUAAGCCUGGGAAACUGGGUCUAAUACCGGAUAGGACCACAUUUUGGAUGGUGUGGUGGAAAGUUUUUCGGUGUGGGAUGAGCUCGCGGCCUAUCAGCUUGUUGGUGGGGUAAUGGCCUACCAAGGCGUCGACGGGUAGCCGGCCUGAGAGGGUGUACGGCCACAUUGGGACUGAGAUACGGCCCAGACUCCUACGGGAGGCAGCAGUGGGGAAUAUUGCACAAUGGGCGCAAGCCUGAUGCAGCGACGCCGCGUGGGGGAUGACGGCCUUCGGGUUGUAAACUCCUUUCGCUAGGGACGAAGCGCAAGUGACGGUACCUGGAGAAGAAGCACCGGCUAACUACGUG
rnacentral:rRNA from 1 species